ensembl:lncRNA
CCACAGUAUGCUCUUUGUCUCCUGCCUGAAACCCAACUGACCCUGAUAAGCUUUUAUGAUCCUAGUUUUAUGAUGAGGAAAGGAACAUUCACAGGCCCAAUAUCACAGAGUCCUAACAAGCAUCAGGAUUUAACCUCAGAUAUCAUCACUCCAAGGACCAAUCCUUCCUCAGCUUCCCAUUCCAGAACCGGCAAAUGCAGCUGGCAGUUCUUCUCUGCUGGAAAAGACAGCCCUUCAGAGUUCAGCCCUGCGUUCUCCAGAGUGGCCAGGAGUGGGAGGUACUCAGGGACCAUUGAUUCAGGAGCAGAGACAAUCACCUUGUGACAAGAGGGAAGAAAGUAAGAAACAUGUGGAGACACACAAAGGGAUGAAGAAACAGGUCCAGAGGAACCAGGAGCUCAGAGGGAUGAAGGAACCUCCCCAGGUUCACAGCGACUCGGAGGCAGAGCCCAGACUUGAGCUCCAAAAUGGGAGUCCAGAGCUCUCAGUAAAACCUCAUGCUGUUUCAAAGAGUAAUGUGUCGAAUCAGUGAAUGCGUGACUCAUCUUACAAAACUGAGUCUCAGACAUUUCAAAGAUCUCUCCUUUCAGAGCUGGGAUCCUGGGCCGCUGUGCAGGGCUCCACGCC